UCUUCCAGGUGAUUCUGCAAAUGACCAAAGAGAGCACUUAAGAGCCUUAUUGAUCGCUGGUUUACUUCAUUAUCUUGCUUUCAACUUAGACGCCUUGUUUGUACCAUCACCACAAUUUGGGAACAUUUUCAUUACCUCAAUCUUUAGAUCUAGCGGAACCAUUCUCCAAGGGACCACACCUGAGGGGCCUCCUCUGCACCAGAUCUGAUUUAGAUGUCGAGGUCCUGGAUUCGGAGCCGAAGCCUGGUGACUUUGCAGAUGGACUCUGGGGGUCUUGGAGGUGCUUCCACCAUCCAAUCCCUCCCACACUCCAGAGCAAGGCCCAUCUCUGAGCCAUUAAAGGGGCAGCACCCACCCAGAGCAGCGAGAGUGGCCCCACCAAAUUCCUUACCGGGGAACUACACUCAGCAUGUCGGCGUCUAGCCCCGUAGCUUUAAACUGUGUCUCGAUUUAUUUUGCGCACAUCCCUUAACAAGAUGUGUCCUAAGUUAUCAGAAAAGCCAAAGAGCUCAUAAGGGUGUAAUGAAUGUCCAGUAUAAAACUGGACAUAAGUGAUCGUGGGGGGUGAAAUAAAGA